GAGAAAACAAAACUAAAACGGAAGAGUGGAUAUCUGUUAGCCGGUUAAUUCAAAAGACAAGACAGCCCGGAACCGGCGUCUUCCAAUACAAGCUUGAUACAUGUGGCAUGAGUAGAAGGCCCGCUAAUUUUAGCCAUGGUGGGUUACCAUAUUGGGCGAGAGAAUGGGAGGUGCGCAGCCGGCUGACAUGCGCAGACGUUCUCGAGCUGCUACUGCAGGUCACUUCAAGGUGCCAAAAUGCUGUAGUGUCUGCUGGACCAUUGAAGAUACUACAUUCUUCAAGAUGAGAGACUGGAUAGCGUCAUGAUCAAAUGGUACUAAUGUGUCCACCAGAGGGCAAUAAAUCAUGAAACUCUUAUUGUGCAGAUGAUGAUAGAAAUGAUUCCAACUGAGCUUUUCUGAAUAUUUGUAAUAUUUGAUAGCAGUAGAAUGAUUAUCUUUACUUCACUUAAUGUGUCAUACAA